rnacentral:rRNA from 1 species
UACGGGGGGGGCAAGCGUUGUUCGGAAUUACUGGGCGUAAAGGGCUCGUAGGCGGCCAACUAAGUCAGACGUGAAAUCCCUCGGCUUAACCGGGGAACUGCGUCUGAUACUGGAUGGCUUGAGAUUGGGAGAGGGAUGCGGAAUUCCAGGUGUAGCGGUGAAAUGCGUAGAUAUCUGGAGGAACACCGGUGGCGAAGGCGGCAUUCUGGACCGGCAUUGACGCUGAGGCGCGAAAGCCAGGGGAGCAAACGGG